rnacentral:rRNA from 1 species
CAGCAGCCGCGGUAAUACAGAGGGUGCGAGCGUUAAUCGGAUUUACUUGGCGUAAAGCGUGCGUAGGCGGCUAAUUGAGUCGGAUGUGAAAUCCCCGAGCUUAACUUGGGAAUUGCAUUCGAUACUGGUUAGCUAGAGUGUGGGAGAGGAUGGUAGAAUUCCAGGUGUAGCGGUGAAAUGCGUAGAGAUCUGGAGGAAUACCGAUGGCGAAGGCAGCCAUCUGGCCUAACACUGACGCUGAGGUACGAAAGCAUGGGGAGCAAACAGGAUUAGAUACCCCCGUAGUCCCUGUCUCUUAUAA